rnacentral:pre_miRNA from 1 species
GACUUGCUCACUCCGUCCAACAAAAAAGUCUCAAGUUUUUAAUUGGAUGUAUCUAGAUAUGACUUAAUGUAUAGAUGCAUUCAAAUUUGAUCAAAGUUGAGACAUCAUUUGUUGGACGGAGGGAGUACAUU